rnacentral:rRNA from 1 species
UGUGUAGGCGGUUUUGUAUGUCGGGUGUGAAAUCUCACCGCUCAACGGUGAAACUGCACUCGAAACUGCAGGACUAGGGUACAGGAGAGGAAAGCGGAAUUCUUGGUGUAGCGGUGGAAUGCGUUGAUAUCAAGAAGAACACCUGUGGCGAAGGCGGCUUUCUGGAAUGUUACUGACGCUGAGACACGAAAGUUGGGGUAGCAAACA